GAGUUUGAUUCUGGCUCAGGAUGAACGCUGGCGGCGUGCUUAAUACAUGCAAGUCGAACGAAGCACUUUCAGCAGAUCCCUUCGGGGUGAAGCCGGUUGUGACUUAGUGGCGGACGGGUGAGUAACGCGUGGGUAACCUGCCUUAUACAGGGGGAUAACAGCUGGAAACGACUGCUAAUACCCCAUAAGCGCACGGCACCGCAUGAUGCAGUGUGAAAAAGAUUUAUCGGUAUAAGAUGGACCCGCGUCUGAUUAGUUAGUUGGCGGGGUAACGGCCCACCAAGACCGCGAUCAGUAGCCGACUUGAGAGAGUGAUCGGCCACAUUGGGACUGAGACACGGCCCAGACUCCUACGGGAGGCAGCAGUAGGGAAUAUUGCACAAUGGGGGAAACCCCGAUGCAGCCGACGCCGCGUGAGUGAUUGAAGUAUUUCGGUAUGUAAAGCUCUAUCAGCAGGGAAGAUAAUGACGGUACCUGACUAAGAAGCCCCGGCUAACUACGUGCCAGCCGCCGC
rnacentral:rRNA from 1 species